rnacentral:rRNA from 1 species
CCUACGGGUGGCAGCAGUGGGGAAUAUUGCACAAUGGGCGAAAGCCUGACGCAGCGACGCCGCGUGAGUGAAGAAGUCUUUCUGUAUUUAAAGCUCUUUCAGCAGGGAGGAAAAUUACGGUACCUGACUAAGACUCCCCGGCUAACUACGGUCCAGCAGGCGCGGUACUACGUAGGGGGCCAGCGUUAUCCGGAUUUACUGGGUGUAAAGGGGUCGUAGACGGAAAGACAAGUCAGAAGUGAAAGCCCCGGGCUCAACCCGGGGACUGCAUUUGAAACUGUCGGGCUGGAGUGCAGUAGAGGUAAGCGGAAUGCCUGGUGUAGCGGUGAAAUGCGUAGAUAUUAGGAGGAACAUCAGUGGCGAAGGCGGCUUACUGGACUGUAACUGACGUUGAGGCACGAAAGCGUGGGGAGCAAACAGGAUUAGAUACCCUUGUAGUC